rnacentral:rRNA from 1 species
UAGCAUGCAGUCGAACGGCAGCAUGUAGCAAUACAUGUGAGAGUGGCGAACGGGUGAGUAACACGUAGGUGAUCUACCUUGGUUUUGGGGAUAGUCCGUGGAAACAUGGGGUAAUACCGGAUACGCUCUUGGGGCUUUAGUCCCUUGAGGAAAGGCGCGGAUGCGCCGAACCGAGAUGAGCCUGCGGCCCAUUAGCUGGUUGGCGGGGUAAGAGCCCACCAAGGCGACGAUGGGUAGCCGGCCUGAGAGGGUGAACGGCCACACUGGGACUGAGAUACGGCCCAGACUCCUACGGGAGGCAGCAGCUAAGAAUCUCCCGCAAUGGGCGAAAGCCUGACGGAGCGACGCCGCGUGGACGAUGAAGGCCGAAAGGUUGUAAAGUCCUUUUCUCCGGGAAGAAUAAGCCCCUCGUGAGGGGUGAUGCCGGUACCGGGGGAAUAAGGAUCGGCUAACUCCGUGCCAGCAGCCGCGGUAAUACGGAGGAUCCGAGCGUUAUCCGGAUUUACUGGGUUUAAAGGGUGCGUAGGCGGGCGCUUAAGUCGGCGGUGAAAGGCAGCGGCUCAACCGUUGGACUGCCGUAGAAACUGGGCGCCUUGAAUUCGGUCGAGGCCGGCGGAAUGCGUGGUGUAGCGGUGAAAUGCUUAGAUAUCACGCGGAACGCCGAUUGCGAAGGCAGCUGGCCGGGCCGAUAUUGACGCUGAGGCACGAAAGCGUGGGGAUCAAACAGGAUUAGAUACCCUGGUAGUCCACGCCGUAAACGAUGAUGGCUGGAUGUUGGCGACACACCGUCAGCGUCUGAGCGAAAGCAUUAAGCCAUCCACCUGGGGGAGUACGAUCGCAAAGGUUGAAACUCAAAGGGAAUUGACGGGGGGCCCGCACAAGCGGGAGGAACAUGUGGGUUUAAUUC